rnacentral:rRNA from 1 species
UACGUAGGGGGCGAGCGUUGUCCGGAUUUAUUGGGCGUAAAGAGCGUGUAGGCGGCCAGGUAGGUCUGCUGUGAAAACUCGAGGCUCAACCUCGAGACGUCGGCGGAAACCAUCUGGCUAGAGUCCGGAAGAGGAGAGUGGAAUUCCUGGUGUAGCGGUGAAAUGCGCAGAUAUCAGGAGGAACACCUAUUGCGAAGGCAGCUCGCUGGGACGUAACUGACGCCGAGACGCGAAAGCGUGGGGAGCAAACAGG